UGGAAUCUGGACUACAAUCAGAGACAUAUGGGAUGGGAACAGCUCACUGAAGGAAGGGAGGCCACAUGCGGCCACAUGCUCCUGGAAAUGGCUGAGUACCAACCAUCCCCUAACCCCUGGCUGUUGACUUCAUGUCUCAGCAUUAAUUCCGGAUGAGCCUGUACCCUGGAAGCAGCCCAGUCACCCCCUGUAUAACCCUUGUGUUCUUGCCCCAAAU